rnacentral:rRNA from 1 species
ACGAACGCUGGCGGCGUGCUUAACACAUGCAAGUCGAACGAGAAAGUUCCUUCGGGAGCGAGUAGAGUGGCGCACGGGGGAGUAACACGUAGGUGACCUGCCGAAAAGAGGGGGAUAACCAGGAGAAAUUCUGGCUAAUACCGCGUAAUCAUCACAACUUUGGAAGGAGUGAUGGAAAGGAUGCCUCUAUACUAUGCAUCUGCUUUUCGAUGGGCCUGCGGGGCAUUAGCUUGAUGGUGGGGUAACGGCCUACCUUGGCGAUGAUGUCUAGCGGAUCUGAGAGGAUGGUCCGCCACACUGGGACUGAGACACGGCCCAGACUCCUACGGGAGGCAGCAGUGGGGAAUAUUGCGCAAUGGAGGAAACUCUGACGCAGCAAUACCGCGUGAGUGAGGAAGGCCUUCGGGUUGUAAAGCUCUUUCAAUAGGGAAAAAUGAGCAAGGGUCCAAUAGGCCCUUGAAGUGAUGGUACCUACAGAAGAAGCACCGGCUAACUUCGUGCCAGCAGCCGCGGUAAUACGAAGGGUGCAAGCGUUGUUCGGAUUUAUUGGGCGUAAAGGGCGCGCAGGCGGAUUUUUAAGUCAGAUGUGAAAUCUCGGGGCUCAACCCCGAAACUGCGUCUGAAACUGAGGAUCUAGAAUUAUGGAGAGGAAAGGGGAAUUUCGCAUGUAGGAGUAAAAUCCGUAGAGAUGCGAAGGAACACCAGGGCCGAAGCGGCUAUCUGGCUCGAUACUGACGCUGAGGCGCGAAAGCGUGGGGAGCAAACAGGAUUAGAUACCUUGGUAGUCCACGCCGUAAACGAUGUGCACUAGAUAUUUGGGCCGUUGACAGGUUCAGUGUCGUAGCUAACGCAUUAAGUGCCACCGCCUGGGGAGUACGGUCGCAAGACUAAACUCAAAGGAAUUGACGGGGGCCCGCACAAGCGGUGGAUUAUGUGGUUUAAUUCGAAGCUACGCGCAGAACCUUACCUAGGUUUGAAAUCCUGAGAAUCUGAUAGAGAUAUCGGAGUGCCCUUCGGGGAAUUCAGUGACAGGCGCUGCAUGGCUGUCGUCAGCUCGUGUUGUGAAAUGUUGGGUUAAGUCUCGCAACGAGCGCAACCCCUAUCUUUAGUUGCCAGCAUUAAGUUGGGCACUCUAGAGAGACUGCCUGGGUUAACCAGGAGGAAGGUGGGGAUGACGUCAAGUCCUCAUGGCCCUUAUAUCUAGGGCUACACACGUAAUACAAUGGUACAUACAAAGGGAAGCGAACUCGCGAGGGGGAGCAAAUCUCAAAAAGUGUAUCUCAGUCCGGAUUGGAGUCUGCAACUCGACUCCAUGAAGUUGGAAUCGCUAGUAAUCGCGGAUCAGCACGCCGCGGUGAAUACGUUCCCGGGCCUUGUACACACCGCCCGUCACACCAUGGGAGUUGAUCUUACCUGAAGUCGUGGCCCUAACUUUUAGAGGGGAGCGUCUACGGUCGAAUCGAUGACUGGGGUGA